UUUUAGUCCCUCCCCCCACACACAUCCGGGAGGGGAGGGGCUGGAGAUUGAAUCAGCCAAUAGCCAGUGCCUUAGUCAAUCAUGACUAUUUAAGGAAGCCUCCAUAAAAAAACAAGAAGGCAACGUUUAGGCCCUUUUAAGGAGACCUUCAUGCUUGAGGAACCAUAAUUCUCCCACGUGCCACCAAGCUGGGCCCUAAAUUCCACAAGGACAGAGCUUCCUUUGUUCGCAUGCUUACCCUGUGUAUCUCUUCAUCUGGCAGUUGAAACUGGUAAAUCAUAUCCUGGAGAGGACCCACGAAAUCCUUGCAAGUUCAUGGGUGCUAUGGCUCACAUAUUAUGGCCCUUCGAAAAGUACAAAAACAAAGAGAAACAUCAGAACCAACUCCUGCCCAGCAUGACAGCUGGAAGAAAUGAGGGCCAAAGAAGGCCACAUGGAGCUACAUGGGGAACAUUGUUCCUGCAGCUAUAUAUUCAGUGUCAAUUGCAUGAGACAAAGUUAAACAGGUAAGGAAGACUUUAUUCGAGACUAUAAGAGUAGAGAAGGGAAACUGAACUUUACUGAACCAAAAAUGUGGAGAGAUUUGAAAAGCUGGGUGGAGGUAAUCUUAGGCCACUUAUGUUUACUAAUUGACCUUACCCAGAGGUAAAAGUAGACCUCCUGUCUUUAUGACAGGAGGUAGUUUUACAAAUUGGAGCAAGGUAACCACUGAAAUUAGGCCUCUACUCUCCCAUGGAUACUGGGAAUUCGUGGCCCUAUCUUCCUUUAAUGUUCACAUUGCAAAGAGAUGGUUCCCAGGUCCUUGAGAAAGAAAGACAUUGGGUCAUCAAACGCCCAAGAGGCUUUUAAAGAACUUGCAUACAUUUCAAAGGAGGCAGAGGAAUAAUCUGCAAUUACAAGUGUUUUAAAGGAAAUACUCUAAGAAAAGGGGGUUUAGGGGCCUAUGGUGAGGAAGAAAUCUGGCUAAAGUUUGUCAAGCCAAGCACAUUUAAGGUGCCCUGGUGACCCAGUAAACUCAUGAUUCUGUACUAAGGAUGAAUGGGAGAAUGGACAUUGGAGGACAACUCACAAUCUGCACCAGUUGGCUUAAUAAUUUUUUCUCUUUCAGUUAUUUGAAGAAAGACUACAAAAACACAAUCAUAUUUAAUUCAAUAAUUAAUCUUAUUUGUGGAAUUUCAUGUGCUAUUAUGAUUUGUAUGGUAAAGAUUUUGUGGGUGUGGGAGACCCUUUCAGUGUUCUAAAAAUUCUUUCUGUAAAGUUGACUUGGAUUUGUAGUAAAACAUUUGUUAAGUGACCUCCUCUUACAUGAGCCACUCUCUCUUCCUUCUAUCGACAGACUGACUUUUGACCACAGCAUGAAAAAUGCUCAGACCAGUAGAUACUCUCUUAUAACCUGCUGAAUUUCUUCCAGCCUCAGCAUGGUAUGCUUUCCAGGAGUCAGUGGUGUUCCUCUCUAAAGUUGAUUGUCCUAGCUAUGCUUGUUAUUGUAAUUACAUGAGAUAAUUAAUUGUUACAAAUUCUAAUGAAAUAUGGAGGUGGAUAGAGCAUUUUCUAUGAUAAUUAAGGUCAGGCUUUGUAAAGAAUCAGUAAACAUGAUGGCUUAAAAAUCACAGUCAAUUUAGAUGGUAGCAAUACUUAUAAAAGUCCUGGAAGAAAGACCAAAAAUCUGGAGACAUUCUGCACCUAGAUUUCAUCACAAAUGUUUUAAAGUUUUAUUCUGCUUUAAGGAAACUUAAACUGGGGUUAUAGAGAGCGUUUAAUAGUCAGUGAGAUUUAUACAAAAAAAGAUGGCAUGAAAUCCCCAUCACAGACAUACUCAAGCAAAAGCUUUGGCCCUAUGUCAAAAGGCUAACCAAGAAAGCUUAUUACAUUUGAAGUUAAAAUGUUUAUGGUACAUUUUCAUUGUUCAGUACUUGGAUCAAUUUUAAAAAUUAAUCUACUAAUUACUGUUUCAAUCAAUUGGUAUGAAAACAGAACGAAAUAAAAGCCCUACUAACUGUCAUGUUUUAUGAUGGAUACUGACAUGUUAAGAGAAGUUGUCCAUUGCGUCAGAGGUGGCCAAGGAUAUCACUGAUUGAAACACUUACUCCCACUGGGUAUUAUAUGUAAGUAAUGAAUCACUAAAUUUUACUCCUGAAUCAUUAUUAUACUAUAUGUUAACUAACUUGGAUUUAAAUAAAAUUUAAAAACAUAAUAGAUUAAAUAAAUAAAUAAGAAACACUCCAUUUGCUUUUCAUUUUGGAUUCAACAACAAAGAAUUCUCUAAUUUUAAAUGAGAUAACUU